UCUUUAUGGGUUUAGGGGCGUAAAAGCCCUGAUAUCAAGCACCUUGGGACAGCUUCCCAAGGUGCUUUUUAAGAAUUU
rnacentral:sRNA from 1 species